CCUACGGGAGGCAGCAGUAGGAANUGCUCGCAAUGGGCGCAAGCCUGACGACGCAACGCCGCGUGGAGGACGAAGAUCUUCGGGUUGUAAACUCCUGUCAAGCGGGAAGAACAGUUUGCGGGUUAAUACCCCGCAUGCCUGACGGUACCGCUGAAGGAAGCCCCGGCUAACUCCGUGCCAGCAGCCGCGGUAAUACGGGGGGGGCAAGCGUUGUUCGGAAUUACUGGGCGUAAAGGGCUCGUAGGCGGCCAGCCAAGUCGGACGUGAAAUCCCUCGGCUCAACCGGGGAACUGCAUCCGAUACUGGUUGGCUUGAANCCGGGAGAGGGAUGCGGAAUUCCAGGUGUAGCGGUGAAAUGCGUAGAUAUCUGGAGGAACACCGGUGGCGAAGGCGGCAUCCUGGACCGGUCUUGACGCUGAGGAGCGAAAGCCAGGGGAGCAAACGGGAUUAGAUACCCCGGUAGUCCUGGCCCUAAACGAUGAAUGCUUGGUGUGGCGGGUAUCGAUCCCUGCCGUGCC
rnacentral:rRNA from 1 species